rnacentral:lncRNA from 11 species
UUCCCAAAAGAAAUUUUGUCAAGUUGAGACAUGAGGAAAAGAUACAAUGCAGGCUGUAUAGAAAGAGGGUAAAAUGGCAGGCGUUGGUGCUAGAGGACAAAUUACUCUCAAGAAAAAGGAAUGCUAUUUGAGAAAAUACAGAAUUUCAUCUUAAAUGUCAAGAGCCAUGUUCAUAAGAUUUUGCAACAAAACAAGUUUGUGAGGACAUUUUGAUACAUGAGGGUUAAACUCCCCCCCCCCUUUUCUGAAGAUGGGCC